UACCAGACUCCUACGGGAGGCAGCAGUCGAGAAUCAUUCACAAUGGGGGAAACCCUGAAGCAGCAACGCCGCGUGGAGGAUGAAGGUUUUCGGAUUGUAAACUCCUUUUGUUAGAGAAGAUAAUGACGGUAUCUAACGAAUAAGCCACGGCUAACUACGUGCCAGCAGCCGCGGUAAUACGUAGGUGGCAAGCGUUGUCCGGAUUUACUGGGUGUAAAGGGGGCGCAGACGGCGAUGCAAGCCAGGAGUGAAAGCCCGGGGCCCAACCCCGGGACUGCUCUUGGAACUGCGUGGCUGGAGUGCAGGAGGGGCAGGCGGAAUUCCUGGUGUAGCGGUGAAAUGCGUAGAUAUCAGGAGGAACACCGGUGGCGAAGGCGGCCUGCUGGACUGCAACUGACGUUGAGGCCCGAAAGCGUGGGGAGCAAACAGGAUUAGAUACCCCAGUAC
rnacentral:rRNA from 1 species